rnacentral:rRNA from 1 species
AUUGAACGCUGGCGGCAUGCCUUACACAUGCAAGUCGAACGGUAACAGGUCUUCGGAUGCUGACGAGUGGCGAACGGGUGAGUAAAGUAUCGGAACAUGCCCAGUCGUGGGGGAUAACGUAGCGAAAGUUACGCUAAUACCGCAUAAGAUCUACGGAUGAAAGCGGGGGACUCGCAAGAGCCUCGUGCGACUGGGGUGGCUGAUAUCAGAUUAGGUAGUUGGUGGGGUAAAGGCCCACCAAGCCUGCGAUCUGUAGCUGGUCUGAGAGGACGACCAGCCACACUGGAACUGAGACACGGUCCAGACUCCUACGGGAGGCAGCAGUGGGGAAUUUUGGACAAUGGGCGCAAGCCUGAUCCAGUAAUGCCGCGUGCAGGACGAAGGCCUUCGGGUUGUAAACUGCUUUUGUACAGAGCGAAAAGGUCUUCUCUAAUACAGGAGGCUGAUGACGGUACUGUAAGAAUAAGCACCGGCUAACUACGUGCCAGCCGCCGCCGUAA